rnacentral:rRNA from 1 species
GAUGAACGCUAGCGAUAGGCUUAACACAUGCAAGUCGAGGGGCAGCAUGGUCUUAGCUUGCUAAGACUGAUGGCGACCGGCGCACGGGUGCGUAACGCGUAUGCAACUUGCCUCACAGAGGGGGAUAACCCGUCGAAAGACGGACUAAUACCGCGUACACUUGGGAUAGGGCAUCCUGACCCAAGGAAAUGAAAUUCGCUGUGAGAUAGGCAUGCGUCCCAUUAGCUAGUUGGUGAGGUAACGGCUCACCAAGGCGACGAUGGGUAGGGGAACUGAGAGGUUGAACCCCCACACUGGUACUGAGACACGGACCAGACUCCUACGGGAGGCAGCAGUGAGGAAUAUUGGUCAAUGGGCGAGAGCCUGAACCAGCCAAGUCGCGUGAAGGAUGACUGUCUUAUGGAUGGUAAACUUCUUUUAUACGGGAAUAACAAGAGUCACGUGUGGCUCCCUGCAUGUACCGUAUGAAUAAGCAUCGGCUAACUCCGUG